GAUCCUGCCGGACCCGACUGCUAUUUGGGUGAGAUUAAGCCAUGCAAGUCGAAUGGGAUACCUAAAUUUCCCAUGGCGCACUGCUCAGUAACACAUGAUUAACUUACCCUAUGGAGAAAAAUAACCUUCGGGAAACUGAGGAUAAUAUUUCAUAGUUGAGAAGGCUUGGAAAAGUUUUUCAAUCAAAAGGAUAAGAUAAAUGGUUCUUAUCCGCCAUAGGAUAGGAUCGUGGUCGAUUAUGGUUGUUGGCGAGGUAAUGGCUCACCAAGCCGAUAAUCGAUAGGGGCCGUGAGAGCGGGAGCCCCGAGAUGGGUACUGAGACAACGACCCAGGCCUUACGAGGCGCAGCAGGCGCGAAACCUCCGCAAUACACGCAAGUGUGACGGGGUCACCCAAAGUGUCCUUCAUAGGACUGUGAUAGGUGGGUAAUAUCUCCUAUCAGAAAGGAGAGGGCAAGGCUGGUGCCAGCCGCCGCGGUAAAACCAGCUCUUCAAGUGGUCGGGAUCUUUAUUGGGCUUAAAGUGUCCGUAGCCGGUUUAGUAAGUUCCUGGUAAAAUCGGAUAGCUUAACUAUUCGCAUGCUAGGAAUACUGCUAUACUAGAGGGCGGGAGAGGUCUGGGGUACUACUAGGGUAGGGGUGAAAUCUUAUAAUCCUUUUAGGACCACCAGUGGCGAAGGCGUCAGACUGGAACGCGCCUGACGGUGAGGGACGAAAGCUAGGGGAGCGAACCGGAUUAGAGACCCGGGUAGUCCUAGCCGUAAACGAUGCAUACUAGGUGAUGGCACGGCCAUGAGCCGUGUCAGUGCCGUAGGGAAACCGUUAAGUGUGCCGCCUGGGAAGUACGGUCGCAAGGCUGAAACUUAAAGGAAUUGGCGGGGGAGCACCACAAGGGAUGAAGCCUGCGGUUUAAUUGGAUUCAACGCCGGG
rnacentral:rRNA from 1 species